rnacentral:rRNA from 1 species
UGAAUACGAGAUGCUACGGCGUCGAAGCAGUCUAUGUCAUACUUCCAAGAAAAGCUUGCACUGUCAUAAACAAAUAAUGCCUGUACCAUAACCGACACAGGUGGGUAGGUAGAGUAUACUAAGGGGCGCGAGAUAACUCUCUCUAAGGAACUCGGCAAAAUGACUCCGUAACUUCGGGAGAAGGAGUGCCUUAUUUUAUAAGGUUGCAAUAACAAGAUCCAAGCAACUGUUUACCAAAAACACAGGUCUCCGCUAAGUCGUAAGACGAUGUAUGGGGGCUGACGCCUGCCCAGUGCCAGAAGGUUAAAGAAGUUGGUUAGCAUCCGCGAAGCUGAUAACUGAAGCCCUGGUGAACGGCGGCCGUAACAAUAACGGUCCUAAGGUAGCGAAAUUCCUUGUCGGGUAAGUUCCGACCCGCACGAAAGGCGUAAUGAUUUGGAUACUGUCUCAGAGAGGGGCUCGGUGAAAUAGACUUUUCUGUGAAGAUGCGGACUACCUGCACCAGGACAGAAAGACCCUAUGAAGCUUUACUGUAACUUGAAAUUGAAAUUGGACUUUACUUGCGCAGUAUAGGUGGGAGGCGUUGAGAAUAUUCUUGCGGGAAUGUUGGAGCCAUCAGUGAGAUACCACUCUUGUAAUGUUAGAUUUCUAACUUUGUAUCAUUAUCUGGUCAAAGGACAGUUUCAGGCGGGCAGUUUGACUGGGGCGGUCGCCUCCCAAACGGUAACGGAGGCGCACAAAGGUUUCCUCUGAACGGGUAGAAAUCGUAUCUAGAGUGUAAAGGCAUAAGGAAGCUUGACUGUGAGACCUACAAGUCGAGCAGGGACGAAAGUCGGUCUUAGUGAUCUGACGGUGCUGAGUGGAAAGGCCGUCACUCAACGGAUAAAAGUUACUCUAGGAUAACAGGCUGAUCUCCCCCAAGAGUUCACAUCGACGGGGAGGUUUGGCACCUCGAUGUCGGCUCAUCGCAUCCUGGGGCGGUAGUACGUCCCAAGGGUUGGGCUGUUCGCCCAUGAAAGCGGUACGCGAGCUGGGUUCAGAACGUCGUGAGACAGUUCGGUCCAUAUCCGGUGUAGGCGUUAGAAUAUUGAGAGGAGCCUUCUUUAGUACGAGAGGACCGAGAAGGACAUACCUCUGGUGUACCAGUUAUCGUGCCAACGGUAAACGCUGGGUAGCUAUGUAUGGAGUGGAUAACCGCUGAAAGCAUCUAAGUGGGAAGCCCACCUCAAGAUAAG